rnacentral:ncRNA from 1 species
UAGAGGGGACAAGUGGCGUUUAGCCACACGAGAUUGAAGCAUAACAGGUCUGUGAUGCCCUUAGAUGUUCGGGGCCGCACGCGCGCUACACUGACCGGAUCAGCGUGUGCUCUCCUUGGCCGACAGGUCCGGGAAACCCGUUGAACCCCGGUCGUGCUAGGGAUAGGGAAUUGCAAUUAUUUCCCUUGAACGAGGAAUUCCCAGUAAGCGCGAGUCAUUAGUUCGCGUUGAUUACGUCCCUGCCCUUUGUACACACCGCCCGUCGCUACUACCGAUUGAAUGGUUUAGUGAGGUCCUCCGAUUGGACCCGGUCCGGGCGGCGACGUCCGAGCCGGCGUCCGAGAAGACGAUCUAACUUGAUCAUUUAGAGGAAGUAAAAGUCGUAACAAGGUUUCCGUAGGUGAACCUGCGGAAGGAUCAUUA